rnacentral:rRNA from 1 species
CAGCACCUCAAGUGGUCAGGAUGAUUAUUGGGCCUAAAGCAUCCGUAGCCGGCGCUGUAAGUUUUCGGUUAAAUCCGUACGCUCAACGUACAGGCUGCCGGGAAUACUGCAGCGCUAGGGAGUGGGAGAGGUAGACGGUACUCGGUAGGAAGGGGUAAAAUCCUUUGAUCUAUUGAUGACCACCUGUGGCGAAGGCGGUCUACCAGAACACGUCCGACGGUGAGGGAUGAAAGCUGGGGGAGCGAACCGGAUUAGAUACCCGAGUAGUCC